rnacentral:lncRNA from 1 species
CUCCAAGUGGCUGAUGCUUCUCUUUGAUGUGGACUGUCCCUCUUGAGAAUCAACUACUUAAUGUGUUACAGGAAUAUGUAACUUUGGAAGCUGUCUGAGAAAUACAUUUAGAGUAGGCUAAUCCCUUGAGUUUCCUCUUGGAAGCAUCCACUUUCUGCCAUGAAUUGAAGCAGCACUGGGUCUAAACUGGCACCAUGUUCUUGGACUUCCCAGCCUCCAGCCAGUAAAUCACUGUUCCUUGAAAACGUCCCAGUCUCGGGGACUAAGACAGUGCCUGAUUCUGCCUGGGAGAAGAGAGUGGUGAAGAAACAAGGGAAGAGGAUCACAACGAAUAUCACAAAGGAAGAUAAGCGACCCCGACUUAGAGGUAACCUGUACCUGGCCUGGACAAGAGAAGAGGACUCAGGACCCCAGGAUAAGGGAUCUUCAGGGACCUCCAGUGACACAGAAGCCUCCAGCCACUGUCCUAAACCUUUGACCACCUGGAUUCCAGGAGAAAUGGACACCUUAGAACUGAGGCCACCCAGAAGGACAGUCCUUUCCUGGGAACAGAGCCAUCCCUUAGCUAUGAGGACCUAUGGUUCCAGGACUGAAAAUCUUUUUGCACCGUGGGAGAAUCCAUAUAUCAUAAUGUUAUUUGAAGAAACAGAAGAUAGGUAG